UUUUGUGAUUCUUCAGUUACUUCAGGCCAUCUGGGCAUAUAUGUGCAAGUGACAGGGGAUGCGAUGGCUUGGCUUGGGCUCAGAGGCCUGACAUUCCUGCCUUCUUAUAUUAAUAAGAAAAAUAAAACAAAAUAGUGUUGAAGUGUUGGGGUGGCAAAAAUUUUGGGGGGGUGGUAUGGAGAGAGAGUGGACGAUGUUUCUCAGGGCUGCUUCAAGCGGGAUUAGGUGCUGUGUGGGAACCUAGAGUGGGAGAGAUUAAGCUGAAGGGAGUUCUUGUGUGCUGGAUAUGUGGCUGGGGUUUGUCUCACAGUGGAGGCAAGGAAUUGCAACUUUUUUAUGUUAUUG
rnacentral:lncRNA from 1 species